rnacentral:rRNA from 1 species
UACGUAGGGGGCUAGCGUUGUCCGGAUUUAUUGGGCGUAAAGAGCGUGUAGGCGGCCAGGUAGGUCUGGUGUGAAAACUCGAGGCUUAACCUCGAGAUGUCAUCGGAAACCAUCUGGCUAGAGUCCGGAAGAGGAGAGUGGAAUUCCUGGUGUAGCGGUGAAAUGCGCAGAUAUCAGGAAGAACACCAAUUGCGAAAGCAGCUCUCUGGGACGGUACUGACGCUGAGACGCGAAAGCGUGGGGAGCGAACGGG